UUAAGUAAAGCCAAAAAGAGGCUUAUCACUGUUAAUGAUAGAAAUGGGAUUAACCCUUCUUGAA
rnacentral:tRNA from 1 species